CCCUUAGAUGUCCUGGGCUGCACGCGCGCUACACUGAUGCGUCCAAUAAGCACCUAACCUAAUCCGAAGGGACCGGGUAACCUUAGCAAAGCGCAUCGUGAUGGGGAUAGAUUAUUGCAAUUAUUAAUCUUCAACGAGGAAUGCCUAGUAGGCGCAAGUCAUCAGCUUGCGUCGAUUACGUCCCUGCCCUUUGUACACACCGCCCGUCGCUCCUACCGAUUGGGUGUGCUGGUGAAAUGUUCGGAUCGGCCGUUUGUCGCGGUUUCCGCGGCUCGUGGCUGAGAAGUUCAUUAAACCCUCCCACCUAGAGGAAGGAGAAGUCGUAACA
rnacentral:rRNA from 1 species